AUAGCUUAAUUUCAAGAGUUUUUCAUUUGCAGUUCAUAAACAGUUAAAAGUAUCUGCCUACUGAGGGUAUGUAGGCUGGGCAAGUUUUUUGGAACAGUGUCUGUCUUCCUACUGGAUUUCUGUAGUGCUUUUACUGUAAUGCAACUAGAAGCUGAAGAACAUGUAUUAAUGAAUCAUCCUCACUUGUAAAGGAACCUGAAUAGAAUAUUUCCAUAUGAAGUCAUAAAUUCAUCUGACCUGACAUGAACUUUUCACUGAGGAGAUCCAGCUGUAGACAAAAGGAAGAGAAAGGCAAUUCAGAGACACCAUUCAUCCCAAUAGGAUUCAUUGUUUCCACUCAACUGUGCCUCCAAAGAGGAACCUGAAUUGUAGCAUACUCUGAUAACAAGGAACACCUUAGGUGAUGGUCCCCAAAAAUCAAAAGUCAGUAUUAUUAGUCGCUAUUAGAGCUGGUGAAAUGGAGUGGAUGAUUUUGCAAAAAAAAAAAAGGAAAUCGGGCUGCAUCAUGUUCUUUUCAAUGUUAAUGUUAAUGUCUAGUAGCCAAAGAUAGUUAACUGUUGAUGAUCCAGUCUUUUUAAUGACAUUACUUAGUUUGUUUUGAUUUCUUUAAUCAUUUAGAAAGGCUAAUCUACCCUGAAAGCAACUGCAGUACUUACCACUUCCUCUCUGAAACCUAGAACAUUCAUACUGAGAUAAUACUUACAGCAGACAACAGAGCAUGUGGCCACACAUCUGAUGGGCAGAAAUUAUCUGUAAAGAGCUCUGAAGCUGACUUAUCUCUGAGAAUGUCCAGCACGCUUUUAACAUUGCUUCUCUACAGAAUUCAUGUUACAUUAAUCACCAAAAUACAGUGAAUAAUACUGGCAAUAUAGACCACAGGCAUCAAGUUCCAGAUCUGCCUCCGAGUUCCCCUAAUUCAACAGAUAAAGGCCUUAAACACAGAAGUACCUCAGGUCAGCACUACUG